AAUUCGCCCUUGAGCACGUAGGUGGGUUUGUAAGUCAGGUGUGAAAGCCUUCUGUUCAACGGGAGAAUUGCAUCUGAAACUACGAAUCUUGAGUGUAGGAGGGGAGAAUGGAACUUCUGGUGGAGCGGUGAAAUGCGUAGAUAUCAGAAGGAACGCCGGCGGCGAAAGCGAUUCUCUGGCCUAUUACUGACACUCAGUGUGCGAAAGCUAGGGGAGCAAACGGGAUUAGAUACCCCGGUAGUCCUAGCCGUAAACGAUGGGCACUAUGUAGUGGGAAUUACCGAUGUUCUCUCUGCCGUAGCUAACGCAUUAAGUGCCCCGCCUGGGGAGUACGGCCGCAAGGCUAAAACUCAAAAGAAUUGACGGGGGCUCGCACAAGCGGUGGAGCAUGUGGCUUAAUUCGAUGCAACGCGAAAAACCUUACCGGGGCUUGACAUGUUAGAAGUAGGAACCUGAAAGGGUAACGAACGGUAUCCAGUCCGUAGCUAUCACAGGUGUUGCAUGGCUGUCGUCAGCUCGUGUCGUGAGACGUUGGGUUAAGUCCCCUAACGAGCGAAACCCUUGUUUUUAGUUACCAGCGGGUUGUGCCGGGUACUCUAGAAAGACUGCCGUCGUCAAGACGGAGGAAGGUGGGGAUGACGUCAAGUCAUCAUGGCCCUUAUGCCCCGGGCUGCACACGCGCUACAAUGGUCGGUACAAACGGAAGCGAAGCCGAGAGGUGAAGCGAAUCCAAGGGCGAAUU
rnacentral:rRNA from 1 species